AGUGAACGCUGGCGGUAGGUCUAACACAUGCAAGUCGAACGGCAGCACAGGAGAGCUUGCUCUCUGGGUGGCGAGUGGCGGACGGGUGAGGAAUACAUCGGAAUCUACCUUUUCGUGGGGGAUAACGUAGGGAAACUUACGCUAAUACCGCAUACGACCUACGGGUGAAAGUGGGGGACCGCAAGGCCUCACGCGAUUAGAUGAGCCGAUGUCCGAUUAGCUAGUUGGCGGGGUAAUGGCCCACCAAGGCGACGAUCGGUAGCUGGUCUGAGAGGAUGAUCAGCCACACUGGAACUGAGACACGGUCCAGACUCCUACGGGAGGCAGCAGUGGGGAAUAUUGGACAAUGGGCGCAAGCCUGAUCCAGCCAUACCGCGUGGGUGAAGAAGGCCUUCGGGUUGUAAAGCCCUUUUGUUGGGAAAGAAAUCCUGUCGAUUAAUACUCGGUGGGGAUGACGGUACCCAAAGAAUAAGCACCGGCUAACUUCGUG
rnacentral:rRNA from 1 species